GAUGAACGCUGGCGGCGUGCCUAAUACAUGCAAGUCGAGCGAACAGACGAGGAGCUUGCUCCUCUGACGUUAGCGGCGGACGGGUGAGUAACACGUGGAUAACCUACCUAUAAGACUGGGAUAACUUCGGGAAACCGGAGCUAAUACCGGAUAAUAUAUUGAACCGCAUGGUUCAAUAGUGAAAGACGGUUUUGCUGUCACUUAUAGAUGGAUCCGCGCCGCAUUAGCUAGUUGGUAAGGUAACGGCUUACCAAGGCAACGAUGCGUAGCCGACCUGAGAGGGUGAUCGGCCACACUGGAACGGAGACACGGUCCAGACUACUACGGGAGGCAGCAGUAGGGAAUCUUCCGCAAUGGGCGAAAGCUUGACGGAGCAACGCCGCGUGAGUGAUGAAGGUCUUCGGAUCGUAAAACUCUGUUAUUAGGGAAGAACAAAUGUGUAAGUAACUAUGCACGUCUUGACGGUACCUAAUCAGAAAGCCACGGCUAACUACGUG
rnacentral:rRNA from 1 species